UGCUGAGAAGUCUUCUGCUUCUUUUCAUUAUGUAUUCCGUUGUGAAUGCAGAAGAUGAAAAGUGCCCCAAUGGAUGGACAAAUUUUGGAGUCAAAUGCUACAAGUACUUCCCUCAUUCAGUUAACUGGAUCACUGCAGAGAGAUUCUGUCAAACCUAUGAUGCAAAUCUCAAAUAGAGUUUUGUAUUUGCAAAUCAGUUUGCGUUUGUUUGAAAGUCGAGUUUUUCUUUGCAAAGCAGAUUGUGUUUAUUUGCAAAACGCUGGAUUUGUCUGAUGAAUAUUGGCACAAA